AUGGCAGCAUCUCACCCCUCUCGAAGCAGUGUCUGCUUAGCCCUGGCUGUUGCCAUUUGCAUCUUGCUCCCAGGCUGCUUCUCCAGCAAAGUUACCCUGGAGAUUUUCGAGAGGGCAUGCCACUGCUUCGACGACCACAAUGUGUACAACGAGUGCGCGGAGGAGCUCCGGCUGGGCGUGGAGGGGGCGUUCCACGUGGGGCGGGAGAGCGUGGACGAGUACUGCGGCGGGGCCUGCCUCGCCGAGACGGAGAUGGCGCUGCGCUGCGUGGAGGAGGUCGCCCACGACGGCUUCAGGUUCUCCAACGGCGCCUCGCUGCUGGCCGUGAAGCAGGCGCUCGGCAGCGGCUGCAGCUACACGCCGGAGAGAGGAACCUUCGACAUACGUGAGCGCAGGGAGUGCGGCGACGAGUACGGGUACGGCUACCACGGCGCGCUCGGCUACGGCGAGGAAGGCGGCGACCGGCGGUACGAGUACCCGGGCGGCGCGUUCGGCAACUACUGCUCCGGCGCCACCGGCGGCGGCGCGGUGCAGACGCUCCUCCUCGCCUUCCUCCUUGUCUCCGCGUCGGCGCUGCUUCUUGCCGCAUGA
rnacentral:rRNA from 1 species